GGCAACAUCCAGAGACUCCUUUGCUCUGUGAGCUUAGUCCUCAGGGUCCCCAAUCUUUGCUAAGCAUUUAAAAAAUCCCCAAGGGAACUUAAAAACCCCUUCAGUAUUUGUUUAAGACCUUCAAGCGAUUCUAUUGUGCAGCUAAGCUGUCAGGUCCCCGGGGCCUCAGCCUGACGGUCUGCUGAGGGCCCUGAACCUGUGGCCAGAAGGGACAAGCGGGCCCAUGUACACUUUGGUCAGCAUGGGAAGGACAUUCGAGGAUUUGCUGAGGGCGAGGGGACCAUCAUGAAAACAGACCUGUCAAGAGUGGGGAACACUGAACGUCCUCACCUCAGGCUUCUGUUAGCCACUCAGGUUCCUUCUCUGUGCAUUUGGAUCAUUCUGCCUGCUGCUCGGAAAACACAGAACUGGCCAGAGUCAUGACUGCUGACCCCUCCAUCCCCUGCCAAGGACAACACUGGCCAGUGGAAACGAAGUAUUUGCUGACCUGUGAGCUUAGGCAACAUGAAGCUUCCACUAGUAGGGAAAAACAAAAGGAAAAUGCUUGAAAUGCAACUCAGAUUGCUACCUUGAGUGACUUGUUUGGAUCUCUGGAAAAGCAUUCUUAGACAUGAGAUGUCACCUGACAAUGGAAACUUCAAAUGUUUAUACAAUGGUAUCAAUCAUCAUAUCCACCCUUAUGACCAGCUUUGAGAACAAAGCACGCACAGCCAGGACGAAAGGAUUCGGAGCCGUAGCUUCCUCAUCUUCAAAACGGGCUGAGGGUCGAGACCUGCACUUCUAGCAGGCAGCAGGGGACACCUCAGUCAGUCAGACCUGCUCCUGGGACAGCGGGCCCCGUCCCCAAACCAGGACAGAGAGGCCUACACAGAAAGGCAGCGUGACUCUUCAGAGCUGUCCCUUUGCUGGGCCGAGUGCCACCCCAACCCAAGGGCUCCAUCCCGUCUUCCUUUUCCAAUAACAACAUUGCCUGCUUUGCCCUGAUUACACCCAGUGCAGCAUGUAAGCAGCGGAAAGAUCUUUGAGCCCCACUGUGGCCCACACUGUUUACCAUACGAGAGGAGGCAACUAGAGCCUACUGGGUCCCUGUGAUGUACAGGUGCUGUGACAGAAAGAGAAAGACAAGCUCUUACAAGCCAGCGUGAUGGAAGGAGUGACUGCAGCUAGAGAUGCCACAGGAGGCGUGAUCCCAGACUUCGCCUUUGGGAAACAUCACUGAAAGCAUCGUCAGGAUGGGUUUCU